rnacentral:rRNA from 1 species
AUUGAACGCUGGCGGCAGGCCUAACACAUGCAAGUCGAGCGAGUGGCGGACGGGUGAGUAAUGUCUGGGGAUCUGCCCGAUGGAGGGGGAUAACUACUGGAAACGGUGGCUAAUACCGCAUACUAUAGGAUGAACCCAUAUGGGAUUAGCUAGUUGGUGGGGUAAAGGCUCACCGAGGCGACGAUCGCUAGCUGGUCUGAGAGGAUGAUCAGCCACACUGGAACUGAGACACGGCCCAGACUCCUACGGGAGGCAGCAGUGGGGAAUAUUGCACAAUGGGCGCAAGCCUGAUGCAGCCAUGCCGCGUGUAUGAAGAAGGCCUUAGGGUUGUAAAGUACUUUCAGCGGGGAGGCGUUACCCGCAGAAGAAGCACCGGCUAACUCCGUGCCAGCAGCCGCGGUAAUUC